rnacentral:rRNA from 1 species
GACGAACGCUGGCGGCGUGCCUAAUACAUGCAAGUAGAACGCAGUUGCGAACGGGCGAGUACCGCGUAGUUACCUGCCUCAUCGCGGGGGAUAACUAUUGGCAACGCUAGCUAAUACCGCAUACUGUGAGAUGGACCUGCGUUGUAUUAGCUAGUUGGUGAGGUAAAGGCUCACCAAGGCGACGAUCCAUAGCCGACCUGCGGGGGGGAGCGGCCAACAUGGGACUGAGACACGGCCCAGGCUCCUUCGGGAGGCAGCAGGAGGGAAACUUCGGCAAGUGACGGAAGUCUGACCCGGCAACGCCGCGGGAGUUAAGAAGGUUUUCGGAGCGGAAAGCUCUGGUUUUAGAGAAGCGGUAACUAACCAGAAAGGGACGGCUAACUACGUGCCAGCAGCCGCGGUAAUAC